rnacentral:tRNA from 1 species
GCGAGGAUGGCGGAAUUGGUAGACGCGCUAGACUUAGGAUCUAGUACCCUCAGGGUGUGGGAGUUCGAGUCUCCCCUUUCGUACCA